AGAGGGUCGAGAACUGAGAGGCGGGUUUCGGGCGCAGCAAGUUCCCGCUGACGCUUCCCGGGAUGCCGGGAUCCAGGACUUACUUCAGAAGAGUAGUUCCCGAAUGAAUAUCUGAAAAGACCAGCUAGGGUAGUGCUUUCUUGUCCUCGAACCAAAACUUUAAUAAGGGUUCCAAAACAAAUGACGUGACGGAAUUAUGUGGAACCUCUAACAAAACAGAAUGGCAAUAAACGAAAUGCAACGAAAGGAUACAGCCUUUCUGUUCUGAUUUUUUAAAAUAAGCCAUCAGCAGCCCAGGGCAUCGGCACCUUAAAUUCACCGAGUCAGAUGUUUCUUUAAUACUGGAGGCUAAUCAUGCCUCAAUCAAAAGAACAAGGUCUUUUAAAUUUACAACUUUCCCAAAGUCAUUUUGGAGUGAAUACUAAUUACGAAUGUCCUUGAAAUACAUGUGAUUUUGAAAGACCAUGGAGAGGAUUUUCUCGUUGGCAACAAAUUCAGUUGGGCAGACAUACAACUGUUAGAAGUGAUUUUAAUGGUGGAAGAACUCGAUGCUUCUGUUCUGACUUCCCUUUGCUAAAGGUAGCAUAUUCACAUCCACACAAAGCCCAGCCACACAAAGUGAAUAGAAACGAAGACUAAAAUGAAAUGUAUCUCCAGGUCAAUCUUAAAAGAAGACUUGUUAAAAAAUCAUUAUUUCUUGCAUCUUGGCAAUUUUCUCCUGCUCCGUACUACAGGAUCAUUAGGAAAUAAACCCUUAUGAUGGGA